rnacentral:rRNA from 1 species
GAGACAGCAGUAGCCACGGGAAUACGAAGGGGGCUAGCGUUGUUCGGAUUUACUGGGCGUAAAGCGCACGUAGGCGGACUUUUAAGUCAGGGGUGAAAUCCCGGGGCUCAACCCCGGAACUGCCUUUGAUACUGGAAGUCUUGAGUAUGGUAGAGGUGAGUGGAAUUCCGAGUGUAGAGGUGAAAUUCGUAGAUAUUCGGAGGAACACCAGUGGCGAAGGCGGCUCACUGGACCAUUACUGACGCUGAGGUGCGAAAGCGUGGGGAGCAAACAGGAUUAGAUACCCCAGUAGUCCCUGUCUCUUAUAC